UGUAGUUAGAGGAGCGGCUGCAGUGCUGGGGUAGAGGAACUCAGCGCAGCGUGUACACGCGUUUACACUCUGCACUGUUUAUAGUUUACCAUAUAUACAUAUUUAUUCAUAUCUCUACAGCGUUCUUAUCUAGUCAUAUUAACCUGCGUUUGUUUCCUUCCCCAGCUUCAGUAACAGAGUAAUAAUAAGGGUUGUAGCUCAGUAAACACGUCUCUCACAGUCUCCAGUGUAGCUAAUAGAGCGUUAUAAUGGCUCAGUCAGACAGCGACGAUGGAAUGGACGAAUUUAUGGAGAAAUUUAAGACACAGAAAUACAAAAAUGCGUUCAAUGAAAGCAACUGGGAGGAGGAGUUUGAGAAAGUACCCAUGUUUAUGAAAACAGCUCCAGAGGAGAUAGACCCACUGAAGAACCCGGACCUCGCCUGCAUUCAGUCCAUUAUUCACGAUGAUGACCGACCACCAGAAGAGCAAGCGAAGAGUCUGAAGGACGAAGGUAACGAGUAUUUUAAGGAGAAGAACUAUAAGAAGGCGAUAGUGGCCUACACAGAGGGGCUGAAGAAGAACUGCUCAGACUCUGACCUCAAUGCCAUCCUGUACACGAAUCGUGCUGCAGCCCAUUUUUAUCUAGGAAAUAUGCGAUCAGCGUUAAAUGAUGCAACUGCUGCAAGAAGGCUGAAGUCAGACCAUAUUAAAGCCAUCAUCAGAGGGGCUCAGUGCUGUAUGGAACUGCAUAAUUAUGCAGAAGCUUUGCAAUGGUGUGAUGAGGGCCUCAGAAUAUUGCCCACCGAAAAGAAGCUGCAGGAGCUUAGGGCUAAAGCAGACAAGCAAAAGAGGGCAGCAGAAAGAGAUGCCAGAAAGGCUAAAGCUAAAGUGAAAAAGGAGCGGACUGACAGAGAUGCAUUGCUGACUGCUGUUAAGGAGCGUGGCAUUAAGUUGAUGCCUGGGCAGCGACAACAUAGAAGCUCUGACAGCGAGGAGGAUGAUGGAGCUGAAGGAUCUGCAGCAGACAUGGCAGAGCUGAAUCUGGACGGCUUCAGCACGCAGGAGGCCACUGGAGCUAAGGUGUAUCUGGAUGAACAAGGUGUUCUUCACUGGCCUGUACUUUUCCUGUACCCAGAGUACAGACAGACCGACUUCAUCUCAGCUUUCUGCGAAAACUCCAGCUUCAUUGAUCACUUGACAGUCAUGUUUGGAGAGGAACUUCCUCCUUGGGACACGGACAAAAAAUAUUGUCCUCAAAAUCUUCAGUUGUUUAUUGAAGACCAUGAAAAAGGUCACAUCUAUGAAGUGGAUGUUACAAAGUCUCUUCUCAGUGUCCUUCAGCACACACGAUGCUCUGUGAAGCAAGGAACUCCUAGCUUCAUUAUCCUGGUGAAAGAUUCUCCGUUCUGUAAGCAGUUUUUAUCAGAUGAGAAAGUCCAUUUAUUAAAAUGAAGCCUGGAUGGAAGAUGGAAGGACACUGCAAUGGCCAGUGACACUGACCCAUGCCCCAAGUCCUUAAAGAGGUUUACUGCAGACAGUGACCUUCCCAGGGCUGUGUGUUUCCCCUGUGGCUGUACACUCUGCAGCAGCCUCCUGACUAUACCCAGUCUGCCUCUCUUCACCAGCUCCUUGGACAGUUCUGCCACUUCUUCUGUGUGCUUCCUACACAGCAUCUUGAGCUCAGUCUUUACAAGGCCGUCGCCGUGCCGCUGCUCGGCCCGCAGUACACACUCCUCCAUUUGAGCAAUAAUGUGGCCCAGGUCUCCUGUGCUCUGGCAGAAGACUGUGAGCAGAGUGUGCAGUAAUAAGGACAGGGCCCAGAGCUCCUGACCACCAGGCCGCUCCAGCUCCAGCGCUCGUUUGAAGCAGUCUAUCGCAUUCUGCUCCUCACCCUUCAGCAGGAGACAACGGCCCCUCAGCAGCUGCAGCUCGGGUAGAGUGGAGCCCAGUGGACACUGCAGAGCCUGGGCUAGGCUGACCAAAGCCUGAUUAACUGCCAUUUCAUCCACCAUUAAACUCUCCUGCAGAGCGUCCACUCCCAUGUAGUAAUAGACCUGAUGAAGGAGAAAUAAGGCUACUUGUCACAGUGUUUUUAUAAACGGACACACUUCUGUUUGAAGACCACUCUUGCAUUGGACAUUGGAAGAGAAUUAAGAGUGAUAUUACAAGAAUUUACACAAAUAUUAAUCUGGCUAUCCAGUGCUUUGCUGUUCUCUUCAACAGAGAUGACAUUCUCUCUGUUACAGAGUGUACCCUUAAAAUGAUUUUUAAACUGUUAUUUUAAUGUAAAACUUCUACAUAAAGUUGCCUAACUGAACAAGA